rnacentral:rRNA from 1 species
UACGGGGGGGGCAAGCGUUGUUCGGAGUUACUGGGCGUAAAGGGCGCGUAGGCGGCCUUCUAAGUCGAACGUGAAAUCCCCGGGCUCAACCCGGGAACUGCGUCCGAUACUGGAAGGCUUGAAUCCGGGAGAGGGAUGCGGAAUUCCAGGUGUAGCGGUGAAAUGCGUAGAUAUCUGGAGGAACACCGGUGGCGAAGGCGGCAUCCUGGACCGGCAUUGACGCUGAGGCGCGAAAGCCAGGGGAGCAAACGGG